AUAACAUUAUUUUGGUAGUAUAAUACGUAUCGUCGAUAGCUUCAAUAAACUGAUAAUAAUAUUGUUAUCGUAUUGUUAUACUAUAGAAAACCCAAUAUAGUAUUUCGUCCUAUUGUUUUCGUACAUAGAGGGAAAAGAAUAUUAUUUUUUUAUUUUUUUACUUAUCUAAAGAGAUAAUUCUACCGUAGCAUGGCCGUAUACCUGCACUCCGAGUCAAGUGAUUGAACGUUUCUUUAUUUUAUUGUGCAACUAUAAUAACGUUCCUAUACUGACGUCAAAUAAUUAACUACUUGAUCGUAUUUCCUAUUUUAUAUAUUAUAUUUAUGAUUUUAUGAUGGCACUUA